GCCUGGGUGGCUUAGUCGUUUAAGCAUCCGACUUCAGCUCAGGUCAUGAUCUCGUGGUUUGUGAGUUCGAGCCCCACGUCGGGCU
rfam:Felis catus isolate Cinnamon breed Abyssinian chromosome A3, whole genome shotgun sequence.